rnacentral:tRNA from 1 species
GCCUGCGUGGCUUAGUCAUUUAAGCAUCUGACUUCAGCUCAGGUCAUGAUCUCAUGGUUCGUGAGUUCAAGCCCCACAUCAGGCU